rnacentral:tRNA from 1 species
CGGGAUGUGGCUCAGUCUGGCUAGAGUGCAGCGUUCGGGACGCUGAGGCCGCGCGUUCGAAUCGCGCCAUCCCGACCA